UAAUGACUGGGAUCUAUGAGGAUACCUGUACACCGACAACAUGAGCGUAGUUAGUGGAGGUGAGCAGAGCGCCAAGCACCAAGACCAUGAUGAUGGCCCGUUACCAGGAGAUGAUGAAAGGCAGGAGGAGUCGGUACGCCCAGAGGACUCUUCCAGUCAGAUAGCGUCAACGACAAGCACAACGAAGUCGUCACUGGGUAGAACCAGGAGAAGGCUUGUUGCCAAGAUGGCAGCGCUUGAAGCAGAGGCAGCAUGCUUACGAGAGAUACAGGUGAUAGAGCUCGAAGAGUUGAAACUGCGUCAAAGAAAGCAAGAGCUCGCAAUCAAGACCAAGAUGGACAUGGCAAAGGCGGAAGAAAUAGUUUACGCCAUCGAUGGGGACAGUCUUCAGACGACACCCCCAAGUUUGACACCAUCACCAGUACUGAGUGACAAGCAGGAGUCACAGAAGGACAGUUUGCAUGAAGCAGGGGAUGAGCAGACACCCCGGAAGGAGCCAGGUUACUCCCCUGUGGAUAGUCCGUCAAUUACGACACCGAAGAAUGGAGAGCACUCCGCAGACAAGCUCAAGACAGCCCCUAUGGAUGAUGACAACCCAGAAAAGGAAGCCUCGCUGAUGGAAUUGGUAAAAACGGGGCAACAACAGCAGCGAUGCAUGCUGGCAACGAUGCAACUUCCGAGAGCAGAGUUGCCAACCUUCGACGGCAACCCACUGCAAUACUGGACCUUUCUGCGUGCAUUCGAGAACAGUGUAGACAUUGCAGAUAUUGACGACAGUGCCAAGCUAGUAAGGCUUCUGAAAUACUGUACUGGAAAGGCAAGAAAGAUCAUAGAGUGUUGUGCCAUAAUGGCGCCAAGUGUUGGCUACAAGAGGGCCAAGGCACUUCUCCAAGAACGCUUCGGCAGUGAUUAUGUCAUAGCUGAGGCAUGGGUAAAUAAGGUAACCAAAGGUGUACCCUUGGCUUCCCAUGAUAAAGUAGGGCUAAGAGAGUAUGCUGAUGACCUCAAAGUUUGUAAGGAAACAUUGGACACAAUGGGAUAUAUUCAGGAAAUAGGAACCCAAGGUGUAAUGGUAAAACUUGUAGAGAAGCUGCCCGGUUAUUUACGUAAUCGAUGGAUAAAACUUGUAAGGGGGCUUCGGAAGAGUGACAAGUGUCCUAAGAUUGCUGAUUUGGUUGAGUUUGUUGAAGAUGCGGCCCAGGAGGCCAAUGAUCCUGUAUAUAGUAAUUUGCAUGCAAGUACAUAUAAGCCACACAGACCAGAGAUGAGAUCUAGAGUAACCAGACCAGACAAAACUAGCUAUGCAUUGUCAACCAUUAGCAAGAUGAAUGAACAUGUACAUGUAACAUGUGUGAUGUGUAAGGGUAACCAUACACUGUUUGGUUGUUCUGAAUUCAAGGGUAAAACCCCACAAGAGCGGUUUAACUUUGCCAAAGCUGAAAGAUUGUGUUACAAUUGUUUAAGGCCAGGUCAUGUUUCAAGUGCAUGUAGUUUGCAUAGAGUUUGUUCUGUUGCAGGGUGCGGUAAAAGACACACAAAGUUCUUGCAUCCAUUAAAGCAGACACCGUCAUCUGGUGUUGAAGAUGAUAGACCAGCUGGGCCGGAGGCAACAGCGCAAAGUAGCUUCACUGAGACGGAUCAUGGCACAUCUUGCGUCACAGGGGUCGGGGUGUACAGAGUUGCCCUACCUAUCAUUGCAGUGAAGGUCAGUGCAGUAGAUGGCGAUUGUAGCGUUGACACUUAUGCUCUUCUUGACAAUGGUUCAACAAGCAGUUUCUGUACGGAGGAGCUUGCAUGUCGACUGAGCAUCAAAGGUAAAAGGCAAUCCUUGACCCUAACGACAAUGACAAAGGCAAAGGUCAAGACUGAAACAACCGUCGUCAGCUUGGUGGUGAACAGUUUUGACCAACAAGCGGCAGUUAAACUUGAUAAGGUUUAUACACGACACUCACUUCCGAUUAAUGACGACAACAUUGCUGAGCCAGAAGACAUCACGAAAUGGCCACAUCUGCGAGACAUCAGCAUCCCCCAGGUUGAGAAGGGCAAGGUACACCUCUUGAUUGGUCAAGACUCGCCAGAGGCACUCCUUCCAUUGGAAGUGAGAAGUGGUGAAACAAAGGCACCGUAUGCUACCAGAACUCGACUUGGAUGGUCCUUAAAUGGGCCGUUGGGAAUGUCCAUGAGGCCUGCGGUAACGUCAAGCUAUGUGGCAGUUGAUGAUGCUCUUGAGCAACAGCUGCAGAGAUUCUGGAAAUUGGAUGCUGCUGAGUCACUGUAUGACGACGACAAGGGCAUGUCAGUCCAAGACAAGAGAGCAAUUGCAUUGUGGGAGAGCACCGUUUGCAUGAAAGAUGGCCAUUAUGAACUGCCAAUACCGUUCAAGAACAACCCGCCAAGGCUUGCUGACAAUCGAAUGGUCGCAGAGCAACGCCUGACUUCAUUGGGCAGACGUCUAGAGAGGGAUCAUGAGUUGAAGUCACGCUACAUAGAAGGCAUGAAAAACCUGGUUGAUAAUGGAUAUGCUGAGGCACUAGGAGAUGAUUGCGUGACAGAUACGGCCAUAUGGUAUCUACCACAUCACCCGGUACUCGAUUCAGGUAAACAAGGGAAGAUGCGUAUCGUCUUCGACUGUGCAGCUAAACACCAUGGUCAGUCCUUGAACACGCAGACAAUCAGUGGGCCAGACCUGACAAACAAGUUGUUAGGCGUACUCCUUCGCUUCCGACAAGAACAAGUGGCAGUUUUGGCAGACGUUCGUGCCAUGUUCCACCAGGUCAGAGUGUCCCCGGAAUGUCGAGACGUCUUGCGUUACCUUUGGUGGCCUGACGGUGAUACUUCACGUGAACCGGCUGUGCACAGGAUGACUGCACACCCUUUUGGCGGGACAUGGAGUCCCAGUUGCUGUUCCUUUGCCUUACGACAUACCGCCGAGGACAACCGUCACGAAUUCCAACCAGACACAGUCAAUUGCGUCAUGCGCAAUUUCUACGUAGAUGACUGCCUAGUCUCACUUGCAACUGAAGUUGAGGCUAUUCGAGUUUCUAGAGAACUACGAGAACUUCUGUCCAGAGGUGGUUUUCAGUUGACGAAGUGGUUGAGUAACAGCCCUCAAGUUCUUGAGUCAACCCCACAGGAAGAUAGAGCCGUGGGUGUCAGGGGGCUAGACCUGAAUCAUGAAGCGCUACCUACAGAGAGGGCCUUGGGUAUGCAGUGGGACGUCGAGACUGACUGCUUCGGGUAUAAAGUGAGCCAAAGGGAAAAACCCUUGACAAGGAGGGGGUUACUAAGUAUUGUUUCCUCCAUCUAUGACCCGCAUGGAUUUGCGAGUCCCUUCACGCUGUUAGCCAAGAAGAUUGUCCAAGACUUAAGCAGGAAGAAGUUGGGUUGGGACGAAGAGCUACCGUCACAACACAGAGAGGAUUGGCAACGUUGGAAGCAGGACUUGGGAAAGCUCGAACAGCUGCGGAUAAACCGAUGUAUCAAGCCCUAUGGGUACAAGGAUGGCGUCAGUUAUCAGUUGCACCACUUUUCCGACGCGUCUGAGGCAGCUUACGGAGCUGUAACUUACCUUCGUAUGGUGAAUUCUGCAGGCCUCAGCCAUACCUGUCUGCUAUUAUCAAAGUCACGUCUGGCACCUUUGAAGAAGGUUACGAUACCAAGGCUUGAGCUGACGGCUGCGACACUCUCUGUGAGGCUGGAUGCAAUGAUCAAGAAGGAGUUUGACCUACCUUUGGAAGAAUCAGUUUUCUGGACUGAUAGCACAAUAGUGCUUCGAUACAUCUAUAAUGAACAGAAGCGUUUCCACACCUUUGUGGCAAACAGAGUAGCCGUCAUCCAGAACCAGUCAAGUUUUCAUCAGUGGCGUCAUGUGAAAAGCGGGUUAAACCCGGCAGAUGUUAUCACCAGAGGGCAAAUGGUAGAUGAGCUGCUGGCCAACCAGGAGUGGUUGAUUGGUCCUGAAUUCUUACGCCAAGAAGACAACAUGUGGCCAAGUUUACCGAUCUCGACAACUCUUGACGAUAAAGAUCCAGAAGUGAAGCUUGAGAAGGAGAUAGUCACCAUUUAUGCCACCCAACAUACAGACUCAGCUAACCCAACCGACAGAUUGAUGGCCAGACACUCCUCAUGGUAUGAGCUGAGAAGAAGUGUUGCAUGGAUCUUGCGAGUGACUGACAGUCUGCUAAGAAGAAUCAGAAAGCAACCAGCAAUACAAGACAUGAAGACGCUGACAACGAACGACCUAGCCAGGGCAGAGGCUGCCAUCGUAAGAUACAUUCAAGCCCAGUCCUUCCAGGAGGAGUUCAGCAGCUUGAAGAAGGGUGAAGAUAAGGCUCAGAAGCUUAGGUCUGAAAAGAAGAAGAAAGGUCAACUGUACAAGUUGGAUCCUAUCUUGACAGACGACAGCAUCAUCAGAGUUGGGGGACGGUUGCGGAAUGCCCCGGGAGAUACAUCAAACCAUCCACCCAUAUUGCCAAAAGACAACCAUGUAGUCUCUCUUAUCAUGAAGCACUACCAUCUGGAAUCUGGUCACUCGGGAAGAGAGUAUGUUCUGUCACUGAUACGACAAAAAUUCUGGGUCAUCAAGGCUAGAUCCAUUUUGCGCAAGGUUUUGAGCAGUUGCUUUGAAUGUAGGCGAAGGUCUGUAGUUCCAGUCCAGCAGAAGAUGGCAGACCUACCAUCUGACAGGGUUACCCCACACAGACCACCAUUCUCAUUUGUUGGAGUCGAUUGUUUUGGACCGUUUCUAGUGAAACAGGGUAGGAACCAGAUCAAACGGUACGGUUGCAUAUUCACGUGUCUUGCAUCUCGAGCGGUGCACAUAGAGGUUUUGCAUACACUGGAUACAGAUUCCUUCAUAAACGGCAUGCAGAGAUUUGUCUGUCGACGAGGACAACCGAUAGAGCUGAGGUCCGAUAAUGGCUCUAACUUCAUUGGAGCUGAGCGUGAGCUAAAGGAAGCUUGGAAAGGGUUGAGUCAAGAGAAGGUUGACAAGUUCCUUCUUAAGAAAGGAAUCCAGUGGAAGUUCAACCCCCCGAGCGCUUCCCACAUGGGGGGCGUCUGGGAAAGACAAAUUAGGUCGACACGCAGGCUGUUGAGUUCACUGAUGACAGAACAGGUAGUGAGCGAUGAAACCUUGUCGACUGUAAUGUGUCUAGUCGAAAGUAUCAUAAACAACAGGCCAAUUACCACCGUCUCAGACGACAUCAACGACUUGGAACCACUCACUCCAAAUCACCUGCUACUUCUUCGUGGUGCGCCACAUUCCCUUGGUGAAUUCGACAAAAAGGAUAUGUACUCGCGGAGAAGAUGGAAGCAAGCGCAAUACCUUGCUGAUGUAUUUUGGAGAAGAUGGAUCCGGGAAUAUCUCCCCUCACUGCAAAAAAGACAAAAAUGGCUUGAACCCCAAAGGAGCAUCAUGGUUGGCGACUUGGUACUUAUUGUUGACAAUGACCUCCCUAGAAACAAAUGGCUUCUUGGGCGUGUUCUUGAAACUUACCCAGGGAAGGAUCAGCUUGUAAGAGUGGUCAAAGUAAAAACCAAGUCAUCCAUUCUGACUAGGCCAGUUCAGAAGUUGUGCCUCUUAGAGUCAGUAAAUAAAGAGCAGUGAACCAUCUGGUAUUCAUCAGGGAUUUACAGCACGGAUUUACAGCUUAAAUCAAACCCUAACAUUCCAGCAUCAAGUUUCUUGUAAGGAUAUGUGUAUUUGUCCAUUGUAAUUUGAAUGGUGUUAUUGUUGGGAUUAUGUAAUCAUUUUUUCCGUGCUUAAAGGUAUAUAACAUUCGGUUUGUUGAAAUGGUCGCAUUUUGCUUAAUGAUAUAGUUAUGUAGUAAAUGCCUUAUUAAGUAUGUAAUGGCAUUUAAGGGGUCGGAAUGUUAAGUCAGAAUGCUCCUUUAUAGGUAAAUUUAUUGUUUGUUAUAUUUCAAUGAUAGAGGGCGCUGUUACAAUUGUACUGUAAUCUAGAACUUCCCGGUCACGCUUUGCAGUCGCCAUAUUUCGUGUUUCGUUUCCACGUCAUCCCAAAGUCAUGAUCCUUGACCUCUAUGGAAGUUUACCUGUCUGGCUUUCCCUUUUCCAUCCCUGUCACUCGCUGGUAGUCCCAACACCGCCCAACC
rnacentral:misc_RNA from 1 species